GAAAUGUGAUAAGUAAUGUGAAUUGCAGAAUUCCGUGAAUCAUCGAAUCUUUGAACGCACCUUGCGCUCCUUGGUAUUCCUUGGAGCAUGCCUGUUUGAGUAUCAUGAAAUCUUCAAAGUAAAUCUUUUGUUAACUCAAUUGGUUUCUACUUUGGUAUUGGAGGUCUUUGCAGCUUCACACCUGCUCCUCUUUGUUCAUUAGCUGGAUCUCAGUGUUAUGCUUGGUUCCACUCGGCGUGAUAAGUUAUCUAUCGCUGAGGACACUGUAAAAGGUGGCCAAGGUAAAUGCAGAUGAACCGCUUCUAAUAGUCCAUUGACUUGGACAAUACUUUUAUGAUCUGAUCUCAAAUCAGGUAGGACUACCCGCUGAACUUAAGC
rnacentral:misc_RNA from 1 species